rnacentral:ncRNA from 1 species
UAAAAGAGCAAAGCAAACGAAAGUUUAUGACGCAGAGCCAUAGGCCUAAAAGAACAUAUGCUUAUGAUAGCUAGGUUGC